rnacentral:lncRNA from 10 species
CUGAGAAUCCCAAAUUUGGUCUGACUUGAGAUGAUGAAGUGGAAGGUGGUUUGUGAGGCUGGAAGAGGAGUUGAAACUUGUUUGUAAUUAUUGUGUGGUGUAUUUGCAUUUCUAAUUGCGCUGAGGGACACUGAAGGCCAAGCUUCCAGUCUCUGGGCUGUCUUUCACCUGCGCCGCGGUGCUGAGUUGUUGGCGGCGGCGGCAGCGUCUUUUCUCCAAGCAGCACCUGUGAGAGCAGCAGCUCCAGCUGGAGUCCCAAGACUUCCAAUCAACAUAGAGAGCCACAGGGCCUGUGCCUGCGUGGGUUUGCUGUAAGGAGCCUGUAACGCAUCGAGGAGCCCAGCGCCCAACCCCACACCUGGCAUUGGCUGGGUGCUCAAUAAAUG